GAAAUAAUCAGACUCAAAAAGACAACUACUACAUGAUUCCACUUAACAGAGCAGCUGGAGUGCAUCCCGGGGACUUGGGAGCUCUGGAAAGAGGAGCAGGAAAGGGCCAUGGCCGGAGGAGGCCUGAAAAAGAUCAUCUCUGCCACAGAGAAGAAGCUGGCUCGGAUGCUGCUGGCCCCUAUGGAGACAGGGAGACCCGGGGAGACAACUGUAUUCAUUCAAGGAGGAAUGGGUGGUGAUGCAAACUUGGGUGGAGGCCACAGGGUGCAGAAGACAGGACACAGCAGAGAGAGAUGUAGGACAUGGAAGGGACAGAAAGGAGUGACCACAGGACAUAAAGGGGCAAGGAAAGUGGAAGCAUGAUAACAUCUGCUGGGCAUCCGGCUGAGGGGUUGGGUGCCUAGGGUGCCCUUCCCUAAGGGAGAACCCCAGGAGCAGAUUCAGAGAAAACCGCCCAGCUCACUCCAGCAAGAAUCAGAAAAGGACCGGUUAAAGGAGAGGGUAGGAAGGUCACCAAGCUCCAAGGGCCCUCAUGAAUCCGGCUUGGAGGCCACAGGGCCCAGGGCAAGGACAAACCACAGGCACAGGACAGCUCCGGUCAAGAUCUUCUGGCUACUGCAGGAGGCAGAAACCACACCCUGCACCCUGCACUGCUGAGGCUGGCGCUGGAGUCCAGAAGCUUCUACACCAGAAGCUUCGGUCCCCCAUCCCUGCUCAAAAAAUUAAAACAAAAACAAUAACAAAUCGGUGUCAUGCACCCUCUGCUUCCUGGUGCUGUUCGGGACCCUGAGUCUUUCACGGGAGCACCUGAUGGGGAAAGCCUGGACCCGUGUCGGUGUCCCUCCUGCAAGGAGUGCUGGGAAAAUGAACUUUCCAGCUUCCUCCUUGCGAAGGCAGAACAUUCCCCAUGUGUACUGGUGGCAUUUAAAAACUGCAGGGCAGCCAGAGAACAUGGACUGUGUUCCACCGGGAGAGUUCCUGGCGGGAUGUCCCGGUGCAGAAGCCCGUCCCAAGAGAUUAUUCCAGGAAAAGAAGUGGCCCUCAGUGUCAAAGGAUGCAAAACUAACCUCUGAGUUCCUGGCAGGUUUAGCAAUAAAGGAGGAUGUUGCUGAUCUCAGUACAAGCAAUGUUAGAGAAAGGGGAAGAUGGAAGUGGACAAGGACGAGUGAGUGGAAGGUGACAAAUGGAAGCAAAGAAACGUAUCCAGACCAUUGAAGAUGCUUGAGCGAGAAGAAAGAGGCGGUGGAGGGAAUGGAAGCCCGAGGAAGUCAUAUGUUGCAAUAAGGGGCCUCAGAGCACGUGUAGAGUGUGGAGCAGAGCCCUUGCAGAGGGGCUGUGGAAGGCUGGCAGGGUGCAGGUGGCCCCACUCUCCGUCACCCUGAGGAGUGUGUGGUCAGAGUUAAAGCUCAGUCUGUUUCUGGGAUCAGGCUUUCACAAGCUCCAAAAGAUUCACCGUGCAGAACUGGACGUUCUAGAGAAAGACCACGCCUCCUCCUGCAGGUAACUCUUCAUUCAGGAAGCAGCUCUUGGCUUAUCCCUGGGCUUAGUGGAAUUGGAAUACCUGACCAUAGGACACCAAGGGCUUUAGGACCUGAGUGGCACAUCGUGUCCUGGUGACAUCUGAGUUACCUGGGGCGUGCACAGCAGCCUCCAGCAUCCCAGGGAGAGCUGUGUAUGGGGUCAGGCUCAAGCAGGUCCCAGGGCACCAGUGACCCAAUGGGUGAAUCAGACUCCCGUGGCACCUGCUCCUUCUGUAUCUCCCUCUGCCAUAUAUAUGAGCUCAUGGGAAGCACUGUAACCUCUUACAGAGGAGGAAAGUUCAUGGACUUCUAGCUUCUAGAACUGUGAUACAAUAAACUCCUGUUGCUUAUCU
ensembl:lncRNA PSG8-AS1 PSG8 antisense RNA 1